GCCCGAUAGGGGCCAGAGCCGGGCGACUGCGGCCGGGCGCACCCGCCACCUGCCCGCGGACUGCGGCGCAGCGGUCCCAGGAAGUGCGGCGGCGGCGGCGGCCUCCACUCAGCUCUGUUGUGACAGGGAGGGAGACUUGUUUUGACAGCCCUUGGGGAUUGGCAGGCGUCUGGGCCUCUUAGGAGCCUCGCCUCGCCGAGGGGGCUCGGCCCGACCAAUCCUCACUGCGGAGGGGUGUGCCCGAGCGCGAAGAAUGGAAUGUGUUCUGCAACUGGGAGCCGGCCCAGCGGGGCUAAUGUACUCGAGCCAGGGUGUACCCGCGCGCGCGCGUGUGCAAACCCGGAGGCGCUCCGUGUAUAUUUUAGGAAGUUUAGAUUUGCGAAAUGAGCCUGAGAUGCAACAAAAAUCCAGGUUGGGUGAAGGAGAGGGGAGAAAGAAACCUUCUUCUGCCAAACAAAGCAAUUUGGAGGAAAGUGGGUAUUGAGUAUGAAUGUCUAAGCGUUUGGGGUGACGGGGUGAAGCUUUGCGUGGUCACAGGUUAAUUGCAGGCUCUCAGGCCAAUUCUUAGAAGUCAAGUCCAUGCAGAGAUAAACUAGGGUUUACUGGGAUCUUGGGGUUCCAUAAUUUGCUUCAGGUUCCAGGAAAGGAUUCUAAGGUCAUUCUGCAGUGUGAGUAAAUAUAACAAGGAAAGGGAGUCAGUGAAAGAGAUGAGGGUGAAAGGAAACUGAACCAACUAAAUCCCUCCGAAGACUGACUCUUAAAAAGCACAGAUAUAAUCCAAGUCAGAUAAAUGCAGGUGGGGAGUUUAGUCUCUAUCCUAAAACAUUCCUAUUUGACAAUGGUUCAGCCUCCUUUCUCUAUAUAAUCCUAUAUAAAAACAUAUUUUGCUCAUUUCCAGUAAGCUAGCAACCAAGAAGGGAGAGAUCUUUGGAUGAUGAGUUAAGUCACUGAAAUUAUCCACAGAAUGCUCAGAUGCAAACCAUGGUCCUAAGGCUCCCUGAAUGCCAUCUCCAUGUGCCUAAAGACCUUGCGAUUUUAUUCAUUGCUGUAUCUCCAGCUCCCAGAACUAUGUCUGGAACAGAGUCUCCUAAUAAGUUAAAGGACGCAUUGCACGUAAUCAAAGAAGAGGACAUACAGCAUUUUCAAGGUUGAGAAAUCUCUACUGUCUGCAGGAGAGCAGAAUGCCUGGGCCUCUAUCCAUUAACACCAUUCCCACAGGAAUUACCCCAUGAAGACCCUGGGGCUAAGGCACUAUCAGGAGCUCCAGGCCAAUCAUCUGGCAGUAGUCUGUAUUGUGCAUGGCAAAGGUCUUUUAAAAAUAGACAGUGUUGAUUUAUUUUCUAUGUAUUAACUUACUUUGACGUGGAUCCUGGAGUUGGAGCUCAUGUCACGGUUUUUUCCCCCACUGAUGCAGAAGCCAGAGGCACUUAGGAAAAGUACCACUGAAAUGGCACAAAUAAGGCCCCCAUAAAAACUUGAUUCUCUGUUUUAUUUGACAACCGAAUCUUUUCCAGGUACAACGUUAUGACAGAAAUCUUUUCAAACCAGAUAUACACCCAAUGCCUGACAUUUUCAAUGCAGAAGUGAAUAUACAGUAGGUUCCUCCUCCCCUCGAGCCCCCAAAUCCCAGGUACAUUCCUCAAAUCUAAAUCACCUACACGAUGUUGGGGUUUUUAAUCCUCCAACUUAUACCAAGGUAUGAAGUUUAUUAAUGCUUUUUAGUGUCACAGGGCCCAUUGGAAGAAACUGCAGAGUCAUAUUUCCUUUUCUAAUGCACUUCUUUUCUCCACUCAUAAUGUGUAAGACUCUUACACCUAUUUUAUAGACUUUAUUGAUAUGCCUUUGUUCUAGUCUACCUUAAACCUUUCGGGAGGAAGAAGCAGAGUGCAAUAUUUGAAUAAAUAUAAAAUCAUAAUGCAUGUUUUACAUUAAAAUAUAGGACAAAAGUAAAGUAUAGUUUGUUUUGUAAGCCCUUUUUUUCCGAGUUAGUUUUCAGGUAUAUAGCUCUUUUGUUAAGCAUGAUACGAAGUUUGUCUGCUUUACAAAAUGAGGAGUUAGAAAAAGUGAAUCCUUCCUUUUAAAAAAAAAAACAAACAAACAAACAAACAAAAAAAAGCCAAAUGCCUCAUGAAAGCUGGCUUGCCAGCGUUUGCUCUGUCAUUAACCCCUGUGAGAAUCACGCAGUUCCCACUCUCAUUAAGUCAUAUAGGUCACCAUGGAUACAACUGCCUCUACUCAGCCCACAGUACGGGAGCAACAGCUGUUGAACCACACUUGGGACUUUUGCCAUUCACUGUUCUGUAUAAAUUGUACUGGUGAAACAUUUCAGAUAAUGUUACAAUUGUUUUUGAAAUUUUAAGUAUGUUGUAGGAAACAUCUGAAAUAUUAGACAACAGUAAAGGACUGAAAUUUAAUUUAACUUGUGAAAUAGAAUAACAAGUAAGAAGCACCGUACAUUUUGUGUAAUAAGAUGUUGCGGCACUUUCUUCAAAUUUUCUCCUAACCAAAAUGAAAUUUUAAUAACUAAACUGAUAGCUGCAGAUAAAAUCUACUUGGAAGAUUCUUUGACAAGCAAAUACUUAACUCUGGGCAAAAACCACAAAACAGUACUAUUUUAUACUAUAAUUUAUAAAGGAAGGAAUAUGUUUUCUGAUUUGUGAUGAUCAUUAUAUUUCUCAUCAAUAAGCUACUGUGAAUUCUAAAAUUCAGAAAAGUAAAAUAUGUAGUUAAAAUUUUACCCUUCUGCCUACCAUAAUUUUUCUAUAUUCAGGAUAUGGAUUAAAGAGAUUUUACUUUGUUUUAUGAAAAUGUGAUGAGAUGGUCUGUGAUCUGUGAUUGAAACAAAAAAAAAUC
rnacentral:lncRNA from 1 species